rnacentral:lncRNA from 1 species
GGUCGUGUAGAUCACAGGAGCCAAAAGAGCUCUAAAAAACCCAAACCCUAGCUUACAAAAUUGAUCAAAUCAAGAAGGCAAAUCAGUUCCAAAACGAAAUUCGAGCUUAGAUUGGUGAUCUCCACUGUAAGGGGAUCAUAAGGCAAGGAAACCGGGACGUCAAGCGGACAAGCCGGUGGUGAUACGCGCUUGAAGGAAGUGCUUUGAAGGUACGUAACUAUUAGUUUCGUUACGUUAUGCAAAAAUGUGAUGCUCGUUUGUUGUGGAUGUUGAUCAAGCAAGGGAAUCAAGAACCGAACACAAGUUUUGAAUGCUUCCGCGCUAGUCUAAUCUAGUUUAAAACAUGUUGUUUUGUAAACUCUUUUGAAUGUUGAACAUUUUAAUCUAGUUAGUCGACUAUGUCGAAAUACUAUAACAA